CUGCACUCCUCAGCCCAUAUUAAGGCCCUGAGAUAACGUGACCAUCCAUGCUGCUGUCAGACGGAGCCAGCGGAGGUGGCGUCCUGCAUGUCGAGCUGCUCUCAUUGGCUGUGCAGUUUCGACUUGUCUGUAGCAGGAAACACAGGCUGGACUGGUCACUCCAGAUCUUGGGAAUACAGCUAAACAAUGCACUAUAAUAUGUUUCUGAAAUGAUUUUAGGAGCACCAGAGUUUGAUGGGCCAUCCCAGACGCCGGUUGACAUUUUGUCCCCAGUCCGACCGGAUGCCACAUAAAAAAUUCACUCAGGCGAGAAGCCAGGAGGAAUACCCAGCUCCCUCCACCCCCGGCGUGUGCCUCUCAGUGGGGAGUGCAAGAAUCAGGAGGAAGAGGCCCAGGAUGCUCCUCUACCCCCCACGUUGUCAUUUCAGACAGUUAUGGACCCAGAAAUGGCAAAAAGCAGCUGCUCCUCUGACCAUAAAGCCCUGAGCCGAGCCCUUAAUUGUUCCUCUGUAGAGAGGGAAUUAUUUCCACCCAGGCCCACCCUGGGGAAGAGCAGAUGAGGAAAGAAGAGGAGGCAGGAAGAGGAGGGGCAGGAGGGGAUGUGUGGAUGGACAAAAUGGCAGGAUGGAUGGCAAGGUGUGGGCAGAUUUUGGCACAGCCACCUGAGGGAGUGGGUGGCAGGUUGAGAAGUCUCCCUCAUUCACAGCUUCUCUGGAAGCCAAAGACUUGAGACUGAAACUGGGUCAUGACUGAAAUCAGGGUGAUGUGUAUGGGAUUUAGAAUUUAUUUGAUUGUAUGUAGGCUGGUACUUUGCAGGUUUGUCUUUUUAUAUUUUAAACCACCAUAGUUUAUUCAGGUUAGUGCUAUUUAGACUCAGAUUACCCUUGUUAGAUAGUUCUAUGUAUUGGCCAUGGAAAAUGUUUUUUAAUAGUUGGCAGGUUGUAUAACAGGACACAUUUCUGGUCAACAGUUUCACCAGUUAACUGUUACUGGUGACACUGGCCUCAGCAUGGGUUAAAGGAUCUUAAUAAAAUGUUCAUGUAAGAUGGAUCGCUGUUAUUAUUCCUCCUCUACAGACUGCCUGUGAGAUAGGCCUGCACAAUAUAAGGAAAAUCUGUGAUGGGAUGGCAAUAUAACAAUUAGCUAUACAGUUCCUAUGUCAGCCUGGUUGUCUUUAUAUUCAGAACUGAAUAAGAUUCGAUUAGAAUUGAAUAAUUUAAAUAUAACUAAAUGUUGUUUGUAUAGCAGCAGUGAUGUCUACAACAGCAAAGUCACUAUAUAAACUCAAUAUCUCACUGGAAACAAACCUAAAAUCUCAAUAAAAUAAAUCAUAUUCUUGACAACAAAAUAUUGAGUGUAAAAAUAAUGAAGAACACAGUCAUCAGUCAGUUCAUAGUUUGGGUACCGAAGCUCAGUUCCAUACGACGAUGGCCGAUCUACGCAACCCAGAAAACAGGCUACAGGUUCAUCGCCACACGUCUCAUCCCUGGUUAACAUUACCACAACUUCCUUUUACUUGAAAGUAUUCCAACACCGGCCGGACAAAUGUUUAAAAACAACUGCGUGUGAAUCUGGCGACACACAGGAUACACUUGAAAGCAGAGCGGUGUACCAUGCUCAACCGCCUGCGUAACCCCAUGCCAAACACAUCAGCCGGCAGCGUGGGCGUCCCUGGCCCUGGUCAUGGAGGGCAUAGAUACGAAGCUGCUGUCUCAGCCAGCAACUAAGUUUGAAUCGGUUUGAUGUGUGGAAAACUAAGCUAAAGACAGCCUGUGUUGUAGCUUGUUUGUAAUAAUUCACAAUUAGCCAAGCUCGCACGUAGCGUUUGUGUAAAACAUGGCAGUGUUGGACGAGAGACUGUGGACAGAGCACCGAUACCGCUUCUACAUGGGUACAUGUUUAUGCUUGUUGAACAGGUAUGAUGAUAAUGUUAUAUUGAAAGUGUUUUAUUGCAUCUGCGUUCAAUAAUGAGCUAAGUUGUCGCCAACUCGAGCAAGUUUGCUUCACUGUCUCAACCCUGGACAGUCUGAUCUGUUGUCCACUGACUUGGCUGUGUUUUUGUGUGUGUAUGUGGAGGAGCCAGGGGAGAGGCUGCAGUGUGACCAUAAAUACCACAGUGUUUAGCCCCAGGGCCCAUUAAAUACUGGGUUUCUGUACCCAUUUCUAAAUAAGAUGAUCCUAUUCAUCAUCUAUCGGGCAGUCUUUUGCUAUGUGUUCAUCAUGCAUGUUUAUAUAGCAAUGAUGAUGAAAAUAUGAUUUAUCUGUCAGUCCUACUGUGAAGCAAUACUUUAAUGGAAUAACUAAACUAGAAAUGGGGGUCAUAUGGCAUUUGAGUAUUGAGUUAAACCAGCUUGCCUUUGUAGCUGU
rnacentral:lncRNA from 15 species